GUAAGGAAUAUUGGUCAAUGGAGGCAACUCUGAACCAGCCAUGCCGCGUGCAGGAUGACGGCCCUAUGGGUUGUAAACUGCUUUUGUACCAGAGAAAACCCCAGUACGUGUACUGGGUUGAUAGUAUGGUAAGAAUAAGCAUCGGCUAACUUCGUGCCAGCAGCCGCGGUAAGACGAAGGAUGCAAGCGUUAUCCGGAUUCAUUGGGUUUAAAGGGUGCGUAGGCGGACUGAUAAGUCAGUGGUGAAAUCUCUCAGCUUAACUGAGAAACUGCCAUUGAUACUGUCGGUCUAGAGUAUAGAUGACGUUGGCGGAAUAUGACAUGUAGUGGUGAAAUACUUAGAUAUGUCAUAGAACACCGAUUGCGAAGGCAGCUAACGAAACUAUAACUGACGCUGAGGCACGAAAGUGCGGGGAUCAAACAGGAUUAGAAACCCGGGUAGUCC
rnacentral:rRNA from 1 species